UCCCUGGUAGCUCAGACGGUAAAGCGUCUGCCUACAAUGCAGGAGACCCAGGUUCAAUCCCUGGGUCGAGAA
rnacentral:tRNA from 1 species